GCAAGUCGAACGGUAACAGCAGAGCUUGCUCUGGCUGACGAGUGGCGGACGGGUGAGUAACACGUAGAAAUCUACCGAGUAGUGGGGGAUAGCCCAGAGAAAUUUGGAUUAAUACCGCAUGUGCACUAAGGUGUAAAGAGGGCCUCUUCUUGAAAGCUCUUGCUAUUUGAUGAGUCUGCGUCAGAUUAGCUUGUUGGUGGGGUAAUGGCCUACCAAGGCGACGAUCUAUAGCUGGUUUUAGAGGAUGAUC
rnacentral:rRNA from 1 species